rnacentral:rRNA from 1 species
GACGAACGCUGGCGGCGUGCUUAACACAUGCAAGUCGAACGGAAAGGCCCUGCUUUUGUUGGUUGCUCGUGUGCCGAACGGGUGUGUAACACGUGAGUAUCCUGCCCUUGUCUUUGGGAUAACUUUUGGAAACUGGGGCUAAUACCGGAUAUGACCUCCUGCUGCAUGUUGUGCGUCGGAAAGUUUCGGCCGUUCGGGCUCGUCUCGCUGCUUAUCAGCUUGUUUGUGUGGUAGUUGCUUACCAAGGCUGUGACGGGUAGCCUGCCUGAGAGGGUUACCGGCGACAAUAGGACUGAGAUAGGGAGCAGAAGCCAACGGGAGGCAGCAGUGGAGAAUAUUGCGCAAUGGGCGGAAGCGUGAGGCAGAAACGCCGCGAGCGGGAUGACGGCCUUCGAGGUGUAAACAGAUUUCGAAUGUGACGAAGAGUGAGUGACGGUAAUGGGUAAAGAAGCAACGGCUAACUACGUG